GAAAUUACGCCUUCCAUGAAGCCGGAAUUGCUAGUAAUGGCAGGUCAGCAUACUGCCGUGAAUACGUUCCCGGGCCUUGUACACACCGCCCGUCACACCAUGAGAGUUGGGGAUACCCGAAGCCUGUGAGCUAACUAUUUAUAGGAGCAGCAGUCGAAGGUAGAAUCAAUGAUUGGGGUGAAGUCGUAACAAGGUAUC
rnacentral:rRNA from 1 species